rnacentral:sRNA from 1 species
AAACAAGAGAUGGUGUAUCGUGUCAGC